rnacentral:rRNA from 1 species
GACGAACCGUGCGAACGUUGUUCGGAUUCACCGGGCUUAAAGGGCGCGUAGGCGGGCUGCCAAGUCCGGGGUGAAAGCCCCCAGCUUAACUGGGGAAGUGCCUUGGAUACUGGUGGUCUUGAGGAGGGUAGGGGCGUCUGGAACAGUCGGUGGAGCGGUGAAAUGCGUUGAUAUCGACCGGAACUCCGGUGGCGAAGGCGAGGCGCUGGACCCUUUCUGACGCUGAGGCGCGAAAGCCAGGGGAGCAAACGGG